rnacentral:rRNA from 1 species
GACGAACGCUGGCGGCGUGCUUAACACAUGCAAGUCGAACGGAAAGGCCCUGCUUUUGUGGCUUUCUCGAGUGGCGAACGGGUGAGUAACACGUGAGUAACCUGCCCUUGUCUUUGUGAUAACUUCAGGAAACUCGGGAUAAUACCGGAUAGGAGCUCCUGCUGCGCGGGGGGGGUUGGAAAUUUUCGGCGGUUGGGGCUGGACUCGCGGGUUAUCAGCUGGUUGGUGGGGUAGUGGCUUGCGCAGGCUUAGACGGGUAGCCGGCCUGAGAGGGUGACCGGGCACAUUGGUCCUGAGAUAGGGCCCAGACUCCAACGGGCGGCAGCAGUCGGGAAUCUUGCUGAAUGGCCGGAAGUCUGAUGCUGUAUGGUCAGGUGCGGGAUGACGUGCUACGGGGUGUAAACCGCUUUGGCCUGUGAGGAAGCGUUAGUGACGGUAAUGUGUCAGGAAGCACCGGCUAACUACGUG